UCCCCUAACCGCCAGAGCCGCUGCCAGCGCCAGGCUCCCCGGGCGGGCGGGCGUCCGCCGCCCCUCUUCUCCGCCUCCUAGGCCCUCCUCCUCCUCUCCACUCUCCUUCCUUCCCCAACUGCUCUCAACCUCGCCUCUCCCACCGCCCCGCUGCAAACCCCUCCUUCAGUGCUCCGGAAGAGGCCAAGCUAAGCAGUCGCAGACAGGUGGUGGGAAGAGGGAAAGGGGUGCCUCUUCUGUCUUCAGGCGACCUCCUAGGCCCCCGGCCAGCCAGCCAUCAUCGGUCCACCCAUGCACCCACCCGCUGAUCCUGUCAUCCACCUACCCAGCCAUCCUUCUAUCAAACCAUCUCGUUCUGGGUAGCUCUGAAGCUCACAGAGAGCCACCCGAGUUUUCUGGCCACUUGUUCUAAAGGCGGUGGAUAAACAGCACGAGAAAAUUGGGGAGACAGUGCUGUCACCGAAAGCGAAGUUAGAGUCAGUUCCUGUUUACAGGGUAGGAAGCAGGCAGGGCCCAUGACAAUGCAAUGUGACACUUGUCACAAACAACCCUGCCAGGUCUGCAACUUCGUGGUCUUCUGAAUUUUGUUCCCGAGAAAGCAAAAGAUCACCAUGCGUCAGCAAGGACUCGGACGAAUGCUCACUGAAUAGUAAUAAGCCAGCCUCUUGUAGAGACUACGUUCAAGAUAAGAAGAGUCCCAUCUCAGGUGGCGGUCCCUGGGGACUCUUACCACAGUCUGUGAGGCAGAAGGGAGCACAGACUUGGAGACUCCAGACAAGGCCCGGGCUUGUCUUCCCUCUUGGUUGCCCCAGCAGGCCUCUGCAAGCUCUGAGGCAGAGGGUGAGCAGUUAGUUACUCAGGAUGGGUGACUCCAUCUGCCUGUGGCAAAUUAGAGGUCUUCUGACACCUUUUGCUUCCUCCUCUAAAUAUUUUGGUAUAAAAAUAAUUGGGUCUUCAUGAGAUCCUGUGCUCAAUCUCCAGUAUCAAAUUGAUGAUGACCACGAUGAUGAUGAUGAUGGUGGUGGUGAUGGUGAUGAAGUAAAAACAAAACAAACAAACAAAACAAACAAACAAAAAACAGCUCCCAGAGAGAAGUCUCAACAUUGCUAACAGAGACUGUUUCCUUCCCUUCAGCAGCAAAGAGCUUUUUCAUAACCAGCUCUCUGGCAAUGUCCACACCUGAAGAGCGGCCAGAACAGAGGUGCUUGGGCUGAAAGGUGCCUGAAGAGCUCUGGAAAAUCAAAGCAAGUCCCGGAACUGGGACCUGGAAACUGUCACUCAAAAGCAGGUGGAGAACAAACGGAAGGAGAGGCCAGCAUAGGUUCUGACGAGCAUUUGGAGGUGAAGGAUGGCCAGUUACCGAGGAGGGAGUACUAGAAGUACCCGGUAGAUGCAGGUAUCUAGAAAUGACGGACGAGUCGACAGAUGGUUGUCCUCCUUUUCACAGUUUUACUUUUUCCUGCUCAGCUAGCCGCAGUCAAGUGAAGUCCAUGUACAAUAAACAAUUCAUGUUUUAAUCACGCACCAUCCUAAGGAGCGCGAUGAAAUCUUACACCAUCACAAUCCAUUCUGCCUGAAUAUGAAUCAUCCCUUUAUCCAGUGUGUCCAUGCUCUAUACACACCUGCCCAGUCAGAUGUGGGUCUGGAAUGCCCCUCAAAGGCCCACAUGUUAAGGCUUAGUCCUCGCAUUGGUUCGGGAGAAGCUCUAAGCUGUAGGGACUAUUGGGAAGUCUUGCAGUCGCUGUAAAUGAAGUGAAGAAUCGUAUGUAAAGGACGUAAGUACCCAUCAUGUGGAAAGCCCUCGCUGCUGCUGUCACUGCUCUUGGGGGACAAGACACACAACAUCAGCAUCUCUCUGAAGAAGAAAGUCCCAGAAAUUGUCUCACAAGACAAUGCUUGUGAAUUUGCCGGGCAUUAGUGCUUAAGUUUGGUAAAGGUAGUCAUCUUUGUUUUUCCAGUUUCCUUUUUCCUUCCCUUCUGAUGUUGCUACUGAUGAGCUUCCUGAAAAUAAGAUGUCCCCCUAUCAUUUCUACAUAAUCACCUACCAGGCAAAGUUCCUGAAGACUCUCUUCUUGCUGGUAUUUAAUAAGAUUCAGACAGAGUUGGUCCUCUGAGACUUAGGGAGCAGCCAAUCUGUCCUUGUGUUCACCAACUAGCUGAGACAUGUUUGCAGAGUCGGGCAGGGCUCUGCACACCUGGAAGCCUUGCCUGUGGGAGGCUGAAAGAGGAGGGUGGGGGUUCCAGGAUAGCCAGGACUAUGUAUUGUGGUCUGAGACUCCAAAUCAACCCAAACACACACAAGAGGUUACCUCAAGGCAAGAUUUAAUGCUGGGAAGCACAAAGAAGAGGGGAGAGGGAGGGGGCUGAUCCACCCAGGCCGCAGAACAGACUCAGGAGCUGAACUGCGACCCCGAACGCCAGGUGAAGCAAGAAUUUAAGCACAAAAAUCAGACAUUUGCAGCCAAGUUACAGUUAUAAUUUUCACUGGUCAGGAUUUAGAGAUUAGGGGCUUCCUUGUCAAUCGACAUAUAAAGCAAGCUUUUCAGUCCAA